GGGGAUGACAGGCUUCGACAGGGAAGGCUGGUCACGGAUUGCAAGCCGAGGUGCCCUACCCUCGUGAAACCGGGGCAAAACUACAGACGCCAAUGCAAGAACCAAUCUUGCGGCGCUCCCGAUGGCUGCCUAGGCAGCAUCGGAUCGCUCUAGCCGCCCAGAGCGGCUACGUCUGCCCAGGCUUUCCUCCGAUGGGCCUGGAGCAG
rnacentral:tmRNA from 1 species